CCUACGGGAGGCUGCAGUGAGGAAUAUUGGUCAAUGGACGCAAGUCUGAACCAGCCAUGCCGCGUGCAGGAAGACGGCUCUAUGAGUUGUACACUGCUUUUGUACGAGGGUAAACGCAGAUACGCGUAUCUGUCUGAAAGUAUCGUACGAAUAAGGAUCGGCUAACUCCGUACCAGCAGCCGCGGUAAUACGGAGGAUUCAAGCGUUAUCCGGAUUUAUUGGGUUUAAAGGGUGCGUAGGCGGUCGGAUAAGUUAGAGGUGAAAUCCCGAGGCUCAACUUCGGAAUUGCCUUUGAUACUGGUCGGCUAGAGAAUAGUUGCGGUAGGCGGAAUGUAUGGUGUAGCGGUGAAAUGCUUAGAGAUCAUACAGAACACCGAUUGCGAAGGCAGCUUACCAAGCUACAUCUGACGUUGAGGCACGAAAGCGUGGGGAGCAAACAGGAUUAGAUACCCGUGUAGUC
rnacentral:rRNA from 1 species